rnacentral:rRNA from 8 species
GGCGGGAUGACCCGCUGAGUUUAAGCAUAUCAAUAAGCGGAGGAGAAGAAACUUACGA